UACGGGGGGGGCAAGCGUUGUUCGGAAUUACUGGGCGUAAAGGGCUCGUAGGCGGCCAACUAAGUCAUACGUGAAAUCCCUCGGCUUAACCGGGGAACUGCGUCUGAUACUGGAUGGCUUGAGUUCGGGAGAGGGAUGCGGAAUUCCAGGUGUAGCGGUGAAAUGCGUAGAUAUCUGGAGGAACACCGGUGGCGAAGGCGGCAUCCUGGACCAUAACUGACGCUGAGGCGCGAAAGCCAGGGGAGCAAACGGG
rnacentral:rRNA from 1 species